GUGCUCACUUCAGUAGCACAUAUACUAACAUUGGAACGAUACAGAAAAGAUUAGCAUGGCCCUUACACAAGGAUGACACGCAAAUUCGCAAAGCGUUACAUAUUUUA
rnacentral:snRNA from 1 species